CUUUCCCAGGAGAGAAGGCAAGAUGAUGAUGAUGUAUUCUCACCUGAUGGACCCUGCUGAGACAGUGAUUUUGGCCACGAGGGAGACAUUGCAGGUCCCUGUUUGGAGCCAGCAUCCUGCAGCUGCUGGCCUCAGCUUCCUCUCUGAACAUACCCCCCAAUUAGCAGAAAGCCGAAGGUGCAGGGAGGCUAAGGAGUGAAGCAAGUGAGCAACCAGUCUUAAUGACAGAGAUAUUGCGUCAGACGUCUUUUGAGGGAGUUGAUUCAGUUAUACAAAUCUAAGAUGCUACUAGUCACUUGACACUUCUCUGGCCUUUAUACAUAAAACGGGACUCAGAGCAGGGAAAUUACUGGCUUGCAUGAGCACACAUCAGCAACCCAUUUCCUCUGCUAGCUGGAAAGCACUACAAGAUGGUCCUCCUAAAGUGUGAGCUGAAGUGGCUCAGCGGCAAGCUGCCAUUGCUUCCUUCUUCUAGAAUGAAAACAUCAGUGGAGAAAACAAAACAGCCCAGCGGGCUGGCAAGUGAAUUAUGCAGUGUGCGUGUUCCCAUCCUGAGCUCCCAGGUGUUUCUGUGACAGCUGCACUCCUGGCCCAGUGGGCUGUGACAGCUGCUUGUCGAGAUAUGUCCUGCUGACACUUCCACACCAGGCCGUGUCCUGCUGCCUCACAUCGGCUGGAUCUCAGGAUCACAUCCAGCGAUGGGGAUGAUUCCAGACGUUGUUCUCAGGUUGCUGUGUGUAAGGAAAGAUCAAGGCAUCUUGAUAGGUGGUUCCUGAUGGCCACGGGCCCCGUGAUCUCACUGGUGACCGCUUGUGGGUGACUGUGAUGGGAAGCUGUUCAGCCCAGGUACUGAUGAUGAUCCGAAUGAGUUCCCUGCCCAAAGCUCUCUCCUGGUUUGGCACUUCAGGAAAUUUGGGCAUGGGAUCGAGCUGCACUCGAGCUGGUCGGGUGUUUUGGUGGCGAGACUGUUGGUGUCCAGAGCAGCCACGUCCCUGACUGUCUGCUGAGAGUUCCCCAAACCUCUGUUCAGCUGUGGGAUUUUAAUUUGUACCAAGAAAGAUGGAAGACUGAAGGCUGGCUCCAAAACAUGCCAGAUGCUCAGUGAGUUGAUCCAUCGUUUAUUUCUACCGUUUGUCAUCCUGGAGUGACUCUGCUGUGAAAACAUGAAAAAGCCAGGGCCCUGCUGACUGCAGGGCAGCAAACUCAGGGCUCAAAGACACGGUAAUGAAACUAAAUAAAAUAAACAGAAUGAAGGCAAUAGUGCGCUGAAGGCAACGUAGCAAGAAAUGUUCAGGAAAUUGUUGUUUCGAAGGAGUUCAGAAAUCUGCUGGAGACUUCAUUUCUUACGUCCCUGUCUCAAAGACAAACUGAUAACCAGUAGCGAUCCAAAGUCAUUGUUCCUGCUAAACAGCUUCCUGCAGUGCAUUAAUUGGCUAUAGCCCGGGUUCCCUUCAUUUGUGUUCCCGUUGCCACCGUUUGUACUGGGGGAGGACAGCGAUGUUGGAGCGCUCCCACCUUGCUGACCACCACCCCUGGGGCAGUGCUGAGGUCAGGCAGGGGAGGCUCUCGGUGCCCUUUUC
rnacentral:lncRNA from 7 species